rnacentral:lncRNA from 1 species
UGAUUGCAAAUCAGUUUCAGUAAGUGUUAGUGUUCCCCUGGAUUGAAUUAAUUUGUCAUUUACUUCCUUCAGGAUCUAGAUCCUUCAGGGUGAAUCUCUAGAUAUUUUAAUAUAUUAACAAGGUAUCAUUUGAUGCAUAGCCUGUAAGUUUUAAAUAGCUAAUGUGGGGAAACAUUUUACAAACAGGAGAAAUAAUUACUCAUGUGCCGGACAUUAGUCAAACGCCAUUAUCCUUUACUAAAAUUUAAGCUAGAGACUGAGUAAAUUUUUCCAGUGAUUUCUCUAUAUAUGUGCUUUAUAAACAGAGUUUCUAGUGGGACCAUGGAGAGACAGAAAGGAGGACCGAUAGUCGUAGAGUCCCUGUGAAGGGCCAGGCACUUCAGUUAUUGAGUACUGGACACCACUGACUUAGCAUUAGGAAGAAAAGAAAAGGGCAUUCUGGAGUCUGCCAUGUGACAUCCAUCUCUCAUCUUCAAAGCCCUACCUCCAGAUGACCCUUUCUCUAAGAUAUUGUUGUCCUUAAGGAUAAAAGGAUUUAACAACAACAACAACAAAAACAAAGUUGGGAAAUCCACUUUAGACCCCAUCAGCGCCCGAACUGCUCCCCACCUGAAAGUGGCUAAGCAGAAAAGAAACUCCAGGCCAGCCAAGGGAAGCUUGCACUGCACAGCUCCCACAAAAGGGGAUUCACACGAGGCUGUGCUGGAGGAUGCCAUCAACCCCAGUGUGCUUGGUGUGAAGGAGCCCCACAGCAAUCCCAGGUCCAGAUGGAGCCUGGCAUCUCACAGGCUGACACACAACAGGGAACUGUAGAGCUGGCCUUCUAACUGGCCACAGUGGGAGACCUUACUGUGCAUAAAAUAAGGCAAACCUCUUGCACAAAGCUGAACACAGAGCCACCAGCAACUCCUGCUCUUCGCCUUUCACAACUUUGCUACAAAGAAAAACAACAAUAACAAAAAUACCUUGGCCAAAUUACCCACCUCCUCUCCCAAGCCUGAGGCCAGCAGAAAAGUCUAACUAAAAAUCUGCAGAAUCUGAGCUCGGGAUUGGACCCUUGGACAGGAACAUCAUCAUCAUCAUCAUCAUCAUAAUAAUAGCAGCUACUUUGAACCAGAUGGUCAAG